rnacentral:rRNA from 1 species
GAUCCUGGCUCAGGAUGAACGCUAGCGACAGGCUUAACACAUGCAAGUCGAGGGGCAGCGGGGUGUAGCAAUACACCGCCGGCGACCGGCGCACGGGUGAGUAACGCGUAUCCAACCUGCCCAUCACUUGGGAAUAACCUUGCGAAAGUAAGACUAAUGCCCAAUGAUAUCCCACGAAGGCAUCCGAAUGGGAUUAAAGAUUUAUCGGUGAUGGAUGGGGAUGCGUCUGAUUAG